rnacentral:rRNA from 1 species
GCCAGGAAUUACGAGCCCAAGCUUAAAACCCAAAGGACUUGACGGUGCCCCAUCCCCCUAGAGGAGCCUGUUCUAUAAUCGAUUCUCCCCGAUCCACCUUACCGUUUCUUGAACACUCAGCCUGUAUACCUCCGUCGCAAGCUUACCAUGUGAGCGCAUAUUCAGUGAGCCCAAAGAUAUAACACCCACACGUCAGGUCAAGGUGCAGCCUACGAAACGGAAAGAAAUGGGCUACAAUCUCUACUCUAGAACAAACGGAAGACUACAUGCAACACAGUCAUAAGGCGGAUUUAGUAGUAAAAAGAAACUAGAGAGUUCUUUUUAAUCAGGCGCUGGGACGCGUACACACCGCCCGUCACCCUCUUCAAACAGCAUAUAUUACGUUAUUGACACCCCAUAGCCUAAAUAGAAGAGGCAAGUCGUAACACGGUAAGCGUACUGGAAAGUGCGCUUGGAACAACAAAAUGUAACUUAACAAAAGUACCUUGCUUACACCAAGAAUAUGUCCGUGAAACCCCGACCAUUUUGAGCUAAAAACCCAGCCCUACUAACCCAAAUGAACCAUCACAACUAAACAAAACAAACAAAACAUUUUAUUCACUGAGUAAAGGCGAUUAAAAAGUAUCUAGGAG